rnacentral:rRNA from 1 species
GCAGCAGCCGCGGGAAUACGUAGGGUGCAAGCGUUAAUCGGAAUUACUGGGCGUAAAGCGUGCGCAGGCGGUGUUGUAAGACUGAUGUGAAAUCCCCGGGCUCAACCUGGGAACUGCAUUGGUGACUGCAACGCUGGAGUGCGGCAGAGGGGGAUGGAAUUCCGCGUGUAGCAGUGAAAUGCGUAGAUAUGCGGAGGAACACCGAUGGCGAAGGCAAUCCCCUGGGCCUGUACUGACGCUCAUGCACGAAAGCGUGGGGAGCAAACAGGAUUAGAUACCCCAGUAGUCCCUGUCUCUUAUAC